rnacentral:rRNA from 1 species
AGUGAACGCUGGCGGUAGGCCUAACACAUGCAAGUCGAACGGCAGCACAGUAAGAGCUUGCUCUUACGGGUGGCGAGUGGCGGACGGGUGAGGAAUACAUCGGAAUCUACUUUUUCGUGGGGGAUAACGUAGGGAAACUUACGCUAAUACCGCAUACGACCUACGGGUGAAAGCAGGGGAUCUUCGGACCUUGCGCGAUUGAAUGGGCCGAUGUCGGAUUAGCUAGUUGGCGGGGUAAAGGCCCACCAAGGCGACGAUCCGUAGCUGGUCUGAGAGGAGGAUCAGCCACACUGGAACUGAGACACGGUCCAGACUCCUACGGGAGGCAGCAGUGGGGAAUAUUGGACAAUGGGCGCAAGCCUGAUCCAGCCAUACCGCGUGGGUGAAGAAGGCCUUCGGGUUGUAAAGCCCUUUUGUUGGGAAAGAAAAGCAGCAGGUUAAUACCCCGCUGUUCUGACGGUACCCAAAGAAUAAGCACCGGCUAACUUCGUG